CUAAAAUACCCUUUAUCUUCUUCUCCUUGUGACCUCGCUUCUGUCCAAGCAAAAAAAAUCAGUUUUUUUCCCAAUAAGAUUUAUCCUGGUUUUGGAGUUUGUUCUGAGCGAUCUUCUACAGUAAUACCCUGAAGCAAUGUUUGUGGCCGAAGAAUGUUCAAGUUGCGAUUCGGGCUAAAUGGUCGGGUACUCUAUUGCUCUUUGAAGCCGGGUCGGUUCCCUUUCUUCUUAUUAUCGCUUUAAUUUUGGGUUUGUUAUGUAUAUGAUUCUCUUGUUGUGGAUUUCGUUUAUUUGUUCAUAUUCGUAUUAAAUUUAUUCUCUUGGUGUGAUAUGUUUGUUUAGUUCUUAUUUUUGAGCCAAUGUCAAUGUUGCAGAAAAUGGCUGAGGUUUGUGUUUUCAUAUCCAACCACUGCUUUAAAGUUAUUUGUUGUGUUUGGUUCUUUUUUGUCAUUGCAAAAAAUGGAGUAUUCAUACCUGUUAGAUCUGGCUGAUGAAUGCGAAGAUCCUUACAUGCGAUUAGUGUACACUAGUAAGGUUUCUUCUAACUUCUAUUUCUUUCUAAGUUUAAAUAGGUGACUGAUGGUAGCUAAUUGCAGCUUCAUGGGCUAUAUAUGUCUAUUAUGCCUAUCAACGUACCUGGAAACCAUUCAAUCCCAUACUUGGGGAGACUUAUGAAAUGGUUAAUCAUGGUGGCAUUACUUUUCUAGUUGAACAGAACACUACAAUGGGGAGGGAAGAACUUGUUUAUAUGCAAUGGGGAGGGAAGAACUUGUUUUGAAAAGAGCAGAUAUCUAAGGACAUGGGAGUUGGAAAGUUCCAGUUUAGUUCCAAGUCCCAGUAUUUGAUUGAACAAUUGCUUACAUGUGAAACAUGAAGGAAUUCAUGGUGAAGCUUUUGGGAUUUUACACAUGUUGUAAAGCAUGACAGAUCAUUAUAAUAAAUUCUUAUCAU